rnacentral:rRNA from 1 species
UACGAAGGGGGCUAGCGUUGCUCGGAAUUACUGGGCGUAAAGCGCACGUAGGCGGUCUGUUAAGUCAGGGGUGAAAUCCUGGAGCUCAACUCCAGAACUGCCUUUGAUACUGGCGAUCUCGAGUCCGGGAGAGGUGAGUGGAACUCCGAGUGUAGAGGUGAAAUUCGUAGAUAUUCGGAAGAACACCAGUGGCGAAGGCGGCUCACUGGCCCGGUACUGACGCUGAGGUGCGAAAGCGUGGGGAGCAAACAGG